GGGGCCGCGCGGCAGCGGCGUGAGGUCGGUCUCCGCCGGCCGCUGGGGUGAGGUGAGGGGGUCGUUCCCUUCACGGUUGCCGCGUCUCCAGACAGACGGGAGCUGGGAGCGAGUGGCUGAAAGCCGGGAUUCCCCGAGUUGCCGGGGCUGUAACUGUGUUUUAGGCUGGUAUCAGGUGUGCGCUUUCCAUAGAAUCAUUAAGGUUGGUAGAAAACUACAAGACCACCUCUUCAAACCGCCUGCCCAUCACCACCGUGCCCACUAAACCACGUCCCUCAGCGCCCUGUCUGCGCCUAUUUCGAACGCUUCCAAGGGACGGCGACUCCACCACUUCUCUUUGAAAAACAGUGGAUUUGGAAACGUAAGAAGAGAAAGAAUUCAGGCUGCAGUUCCUUAGCUCAGAGCAAGAUAACAGAUAAUGCAAGAAGAGCGUAAUCCCAUUCAACAGAAUUGGUAAGAUUCUGUUUGAAUUGCAUUAACUUGCUGAGAGCGGCGUUCUUCAAGUGGAAGGCGCUCACCGGAGGGCUGCAGAGAAGGCCACUCAUCAGGUACCAGCUCCAAUUUGCUUUCAGCUGCUCAGCCCCGUAAGUGUUUUAUGUGACUGUGUCUCAACUGUACGUGCUGCCACUGCUCUAAACUCAGGAAGGAAGUGGGAGCAGCAGGACAAGAAUAUUUCUGUAGUACAACUGUCUGUGGAAGCCUCUCUUGGCUAAAUUACAGUCUAUAGGGAAGGAGAUGAGAAGCCUGUAGGGAAGAGCAAUAACCAUUUUAGAAGCAGCUUCAUGUGGCUGCAGUCGGUACGAGUCUGAGCCGGGUAAUUUUUGCUGUCUGAACAUCUGACUGAGAAUGGUGAGAUGGGGUUUCUAUGGGAAAAAUCCAGUGGGAUUCAAGAUGAGAAUGCACAAAGCAGCGUCUCCACACCUUAGAAGUCUCCUGUUCUGGAAGAGAAACAAGCCCAGCACUCUCAUGUAAAAAAAAAACCCAAAAACUGCAACUCUACAAAAAGAAUGCUACUUUUAUUUUCAAAUGCUGUAAAAAGCCUCAUAUAAAUUUUUAUAAUGCUUCUAUGUAACUUUCCCAACCACAACUAAUGAAAUAGUCUAGGAAAAAUAUAGCAGUCGCCAUUUUGACUCCAAGAACAAGCUGCUGUAAUAUAUCAACAUUAAAAUGACAAAGUACAGUAUGUUACAAUGCUUGUAAUUGCUCGUGUUAUUGAAAAAGUGAGAGCACUUCCUAAGCAUUACAGUAUAACUGGGCUAAACAGCAGUAUUCCCUACUUGCCAUCACAGAGGAAAGUCACCUUGUUACAAGGAGCCAACACAACGCCCUUGUACUGCUUACGCCCAUUCCUCUUAGUAGAGUGGAGAGCUUUGAGCAAGCCCCUUUGCACUUAGGUGAAUCCACCCACAUCAUGCUGCUAUUCCAUACUGUAUCCGACGACUCAGGUGUUUGACAAUUGACCUAUAAAAAUAACACUUACAUAACUCUCCAGCAAGGCAAAUUUAACAGUGCAAAUGCAGUAUCAACAAUAUUUGAUUCGUGAAUGCUGGCAAUUCUUUUUAAAAACCCCUUUUGUACAUGAAGCAACCUGCGCUGCCGUGCUGUACCCGAGGCCACGCACUCGUGCCAAUUCGAGAUGGAACAAAGUGCAAAAGCUCAGCUGUGUUUUCCGAUCCAAACUUCCUCCUCCGUUUUGGCGUAUUCAGAUCCAGAAUUCGGAUUCAGGCUCACUGUUUCCACUGACGCACUCAGGUUUUCCCUGCUGCAAUCUCCCCAGCAAACCUCUGAUAACGAUUUGCGUACAGAAAUCCACAUUUAAACGAAGUUAACAACGCUCACUUCCAGAAAAUAAACUUUGACAUGGUUGCAAUCAUCAAGCCAUUUCAGGAUCUUUGGUACUCCAAGAAUACAAAAAAUAAAUGGCACAGUGACAAACAUCACCGAAGGAAGAAAAUAAAAACAACCAUCCAAACAAAUAAGACCAAAAGAACAAAGCAAGAGAUAUGUCGCACUUCCACUUGUUGAAAGCCAGUGUAGAUCAACCUUCUGUUCUCUUCAAUCUAUUACAGUGUCACAGUUUUACCUUUAAAAAGAGUCUAUAUUCCUAAAAGCAGUAGUUAAUAUUUUGUUUAACUCGACUUAUCCAUUAAAAUAACGCUAUGUUUUCCAAAAAAAUAAAUUCAACUACCACGAUACAGGAGUUUACGCUAAGUAGGCUGCAGGCUGUUUCCCAAAGGAUGCAACUCCUAUGUGAGCACUGAUAUGAUUAACCGUCCUCAAUUGUAGAUGCUUAUUAUCUUUAGUGUUACGAGUACAAGGAUUGAGCUUUUUCCCCAGUCUGUAAACUAGUGAAUAUGUACAGACGUAGUUGUAUAAUAGAUAGCUUCAAAUUAAAUGUGUAUUUAUCUGCCCUCCCUCAAACCCCACAGGAAAAAAAAAAAACAA